rnacentral:rRNA from 1 species
CACGUAGGGCGCAAGCGUUGUCCGGAAUUAUUGGGCGUAAAGAGCUCGUAGGCGGUCUGUUACGUCUGCUGUGAAAAUCCGGGGCUUAACCCUGGACCUGCAGUGGGUACGGGCAGACUAGAGUGCGGUAGGGGAGAUCGGAAUUCCUGGUGUAGCGGUGAAAUGCGCAGAUAUCAGGAGGAACACCGGUGGCGAAGGCGGAUCUCUGGGCCGUAACUGACGCUGAGGAGCGAAAGCAUGGGGAGCGAACAGG